rnacentral:rRNA from 1 species
AGUGAACGCUGGCGGUAGGCCUAACACAUGCAAGUCGAACGGCAGCACAGUAAGAGCUUGCUCUUACGGGUGGGGAGUGGCGGACGGGUGAGGAAUACAUCGGAAUCUACUUUUUCGUGGGGGCUAACGUAGGGACACUUACGCUAAUACCGCAUACGACCUACGGGUGAAAGCAGGGGAUCUUCGGACCUUGCGCGAUUCAAUGAGCCGAUGUCGGAUUAGCUAGUUGGCGGGGUAAAGGCCCACCAAGGCGACGAUCCGUAGCUGGUCUGAGAGGAUGAUCAGCCACACUGGAACUGAGACACGGUCCAGACUCCUACGGGAGGCAGCAGUGGGGAAUAUUGGACAAUGGGCGCAAGCCUGAUCCAGCCAUACCGCGUGGGUGAAGAAGGCCUUCGGAUUGUAAAGCCCUUUUGUUGGGAAAGAAAAGCAGCAGGUUAAUACCCCGCUGUUCUGACGGUACCCAAAGAAUAAGCACCGGCUAACUUCGUG